CCCAACUUAGCUCUCACUGCUCUCUAACUAGACCAUGGGAAGGCAAAGAAAUUCAGUCCGGCGCCUCUCCGGAGCAGGAUAGCGAGGGGAGCGGGCAGAUGCGGCCGCCAGGAGCUCAGCAUCCCCGGAGCUCUGCCUGCCCCCGCAGACCCCUGCACAACCCCUCUCCCCCUUCCCUGGGCUGCCAGGGCGGACGGGAGCUGGCAGGAAAAGCUGCCACAGUGCGCUAGAUGGGAUUCCUCUCGGGGAAGAGGAGGGACGGGAAAAGGAGAAACCCGCGCGCACUUUCCCUUCCAAUGAUCCCAAUCUCGCCGCGCACUGGAAAAGCCUCUUCUCCCCCCAGACCCCGCCAGGCAAGACCGGGUACGGUAAUUUGGGCUCUCCGCAGGGCACUGGGGAAGCACUCUGCGGGCGGCCCCGCUCAGCCCCCGCGCUUCCCUGCGCUGCCCCGGAGGCUGCGGGAGCCGCGGUGCCCCCGCCUCCGCUCCGCGCUCCGGAGGAUGGAUGUUCCGGGGAUGGAUGCUCCGGGGAUGGAUGCGCCGGGGGAUGCGGCGGAGCGGGCGUUUGGCGCAUCGCUGCCCGGAGGGGAUGGGAUGGGACAGGGUGGGCUGGGCUGGGGGUCACUCACCUCGCUGCAAGGUGACCCGCGGCGCGGUGCUCCCGCAGGGGCGGCUCAGCGCCCCGGCGCUCCGCCCGGCAGCAUCCCCGCGGCGGGGGCGGCGGCGGGCACCGGGCCCGGGGGAUGCACAGCGCCCGCCGAGAAGGGGCUGCGCCGCCUGCACCGCCUCGGCGGCACUGUGCGCUCGGCAGGAGGAGGAGAAAAAGGAGGAGGGACGGAGGGAGAGGGAGAGAGAGGCAGGCGGAGGGAGAGAGGCAGGAGGAGAAGGAGCCCUGCGCGGCAGCGCGGCCAACUUUCCUUCUGCAGCGCAGCAGGAACAGCCUCCCGUCCCUCGGUGUGUAACCCCCGCCCCGGGUGCUUUCCUCCACAGCUGAUGGAGAUGCAGGAAAGCUGCUGUGCAGACAGAAGCACAAAGAGGAACACAAAGAAAUAUUUGAAAGGAGCAAAGGUGGGGAGGAAGAAAGUUCACCUCCCUGAGUCUGAUGGAUGUUGGAGCAGGGCAGCCCAUGAUGGCUUGUGA
ensembl:lncRNA